rnacentral:rRNA from 1 species
UCGCCUGUUUAUCAAAAACAUCGCCUCUUGCAACUCACAUAUAAGAGGUAACGCCUGCCCAGUGACCAUGUGUUCAACGGCCGCGGUAUUCUGACCGUGCAAAGGUAGCGUAAUCACUUGUCUUUUAAAUAAAGACCAGUAUGAAUGGCAUCACGAGAGUUCAACUGUCUCCCACACCCAAUCAGUGAAACUGAUCUCCCCGUGCAGAAGCGGGGAUAAAACCAUAAGACGAGAAGACCCCAUGGAGCUUUAAACUAAAGGCACUAGCUUCUUAUUAAUACCCAAGGACAAAAUAUUUAACCAGCUAAAGUGACCUGUCGUUUUCGGUUGGGGCGACCACGGAGAAAAGCAAAUCCUCCGAAAUGAAAGGGACAACCCUUAGCCAAGACUCACAACUCUAAGCAAUAGAACAUCUAACACACCGAUCCAAUCAAAUUGAUCAACGAACCAAGUUACCCUGGGGAUAACAGCGCAAUCUAUUUUCAGAGUUCAUAUCGACAAAUAGGUUUACGACCUCGAUGUUGGAUCAGGGCCUCCUAGCGGUGCAGCCGCUGCUAAGGGUUCGUUUGUUCAACGAUUAAAGCCCUACGUGAUCUGAGUUCAGACCGGA